GAUGAACGCUGGCGGCGUGCCUAACACAUGCAAGUCGAGCGAUUCCCUUCGGAGAAGAGCGGCGGACGGGUGAGUAACGCGUGGGUAACCUGCCUCAUACACAUGGAUAACAUACCGAAAGGUAUGCUAAUACAAGAUGAUAUAAGAGAUUCGCAUGGAUUUCUUAUCAAAGCUCCGGCGGUAUGAGAUGGACCCGCGUCUGAUUAGCUAGUUGGUAAGGUAACGGCUUACCAAGGCGACGAUCAGUAGCCGACCUGAGAGGGUGAUCGGCCACAUUGGAACUGAGACACGGUCCAAACUCCUACGGGAGGCAGCAGUGGGGAAUAUUGCACAAUGGGCGAAAGCCUGAUGCAGCAACGCCGCGUGAGUGAUGAAGGCCUUCGGGUCGUAAAACUCUGUCCUCAAGGAAGAUAAUGACGGUACUUGAGGAGGAAGCCCCGGCUAACUACGUGCCAGCCGCCGCGGUAAUAC
rnacentral:rRNA from 1 species